UACGUAGGGCGCAAGCGUUAUCCGGAAUUAUUGGGCGUAAAGAGCUCGUAGGCGGUUUGUCGCGUCUGCCGUGAAAGUCCGGGGCUCAACUCCGGAUCUGCGGUGGGUACGGGCAGACUAGAGUGAUGUAGGGGAGACUGGAAUUCCUGGUGUAGCGGUGAAAUGCGCAGAUAUCAGGAGGAACACCGGUGGCGAAGGCGGUUCUCUGGGACGGUACUGACGCUGAGACGCGAAAGCGUGGGGAGCGAACAGG
rnacentral:rRNA from 1 species